GGCGGGGGCGGGGCCGAGCUGCCCUGGCGCGUCUCGCGGGAAGAAGGCCCCGAAUGGACGCGCCUGACCACAGACCCUGGGGGCCGGGACCCCCCCCGGCGCGGCCUGUUCCUGGGGCCCCGCAUCGGCCCCCGCGCGCCAGGUGCCCCUUGAGCCGCCCCCCCGGGACCUGUCAGCCCAGCGCCCGCUUUGCACCGCGCAGCUCUGGCCUUGGUAGCCGGGUUGCGGCUGCCCCCGGCGAGCCGCGAACCGGCCCCGUGCUCUGCCCGGCGGCUGGCCACCGGGGCACUGAGCCUGGGUUUAACUAGCUCAUGCCCACAAGUCAAGCGGAUGAGAAGCGGCGCACCCCUUAGGGGAGCUGAGCGCGCUCACCACCUCCCGGGAAAGGCCGCUCAGGUGCGGGUGCCGGUGCAGGAUUAAUUGCCGUGAACACCAGCUGCAGUGAGGCUGAGGAAAGAGCCACCUGGCCCCAAAACGGUGCUAGUUAACUUAGCAAUGUUGCAAUGAGAGGCCGAAACGUGGUGCUUUCGGGGAGCCUUACCACAGUGCCUUGCUGCAUCCCUGUGUCGACAUGGUCUGCUUGUCCUUUCCAGAAAGGAGGCAGAUUUUGGCAAGGAAAUAUGAGAAAGAAGCAAAAACACAUUUUAAACAUCAUUUAAUGUUUUUAACGAUAAACAGUCAUCUAGUAUAAACACGUUACAUAUGAUAACUUAGCAAGAACUUAUUGCUAACUGGAUGGUAAAUGGACUCAAGAACGAAGUGGGUGAUGCAGGAAUGCACUCUUUGGAAGGAACAGAAGAGGAGGCAUUUCAAAGAUCCUGCAGGUGACUGAGAAAUAAACAGUUUAAUCGAAAAGGAACACUGACCUCACACAGCACCAAAGUUCUACAUCCAGGUUGUUCUACUGAUAUACAAACAAAAUCACAUUUCCCAGUGCAUCUGGCAGUUGUUACCAUGGAAAUGGUCAAUUUCUGAAAGGAGAAGUUUUGAGAUGACUGAUCACCACUGAGCUAGGGAACUGCUGCUGAGACAAAACUGAGAGUUAGAGAUUUGCUAAUCCGAAAAUACCUGCGUCCCUGGUAACUCAAGAGUAGAUACAAAGGAAUUCUCUAUUUGAUAAGGUUUUGUUUUCCUGCUUGGUCCCUCAGAACCAUUCAGUUGGAUAUAUUCUGUUCUGGAUAUAUUAUUGUACCAUGUUCAUUGCCAUAGUAUCAGAGCAGAACAUGGACUGAAUUCAUCCCUGGUAUAAAUCCUGUGAUUCCAGUGGAGUUACGCUAGCUAUGAAUUUAGAGUCACGUCUUAGAAAGGUACCAUCAAAUACUUUUCGAAAACUGAUUUCUAAUUUUCUUUCCCUUAUUUUCUUUCUCUUAUUUCACUUGUUGGAACCUUUGCCACUUUGUCCUUAUGUGUUGUGCAAACAUUCCUUCUUUCUCUCAAGCACCCGCUCCUGUGCCAUGGUUCUUUAAAUUUUGCCUUUAACUUUGUUUCUUUCCUGUCACCAUAACACACCCUUAUAUUGACAUCAGCAAAUCAGACAAUAGGCUUUGUUAGUUACCUUGUGUUCUCUUGGGUGGUUGGCUGUGCUACAGAAAAACAAAAUACAUAGCAAAGUCAUACACAAACCGAAACUCCUCAGCGGGUAUAAACUGGUGAAUCUCCAUUGACUUCAGUAGCAACACCAGUUUACACCAGCUGAGGAUCUGGGUAUCCAUUUGUCCUUCAAUUUCACAAAGUGUUAGAGUGAUGAAAGAAAGAAAUUUAAAUUCCAGCUGACAAUCAUCACCAGCUUAUAAUACUUUUAAAACAGUCCCCAAACAGACCUAAAUUACUUAAUAGUGGAUCAAUCCUUGCAAUUCUUACUAAAUCAAAAUUCCCAUUGACUUCCUCAUGGAAAUCUUGAUUAUGUAAGUAGUGGGGUAAGGAGAACUACAGAAUUGGGUCCAACAUCUUUUUUUAAUUUAGUUAAUUAAUAUGAUUGUGAUUUACAGACAGUAUAGUACAAAAGCCUGAGUCUGCUUAAUUGGUAUUACACAGUUUUCGUAAUGAACGUGACACCAUCAACAAGCUCAGAUGUUUGAAUAGUGAAGGGUGAGGCCCAGUCCUCUGACACAUCCCCCAAGAACACACACUGGCACCAACAGAAUGUCAAGACAACAGAAAUGACAGCAUCAAAAUAAACAAACUGUGUUAAGGGGAUGCUGUGAGCUACUGAUUUAAAACUUACCUGUUCAGUUUACUGGGCCUUUAGUGUAUUGGAGAAUACAGCUGAAAGUCAUGACUCAGGAAAGCUCACGGGUCUCUUAUUGUGCUAUUAAAAAGGUGUUUUGCAUUGCUAGUGUGAUUCUUAGGUUCCUAUGCCCAAUUUGUUUCUCCUUCUCACAUAAAUAAUUCCCCUAUCAUCAGAACCCCGGCCAAUAAGACUACCUGAGUGAAAAAGGGCUGCCAACUCUAGCCCUGUCUUCCUAGAAGUACUUUCAUCAGAUGCAGAAUUGCUGACAGUGAUGUGCUUUAGCAGCACAGCCAGUGCCAGCUAAAUUAUGCAAUCAGAGUAUCACCAGAAGUAGCACUUUUUGCAAGGUGUGAGCAUUUGGGAAUGAUGCCACAACACAACACUUUGGGAUUUCAGAGUUUUGCUCUGUAGUCCUUGGGUGUUUGGAUAUCCAACUGAAGGGGCUCUGGAAUACUCCUUCGGUGUUUUGUUUACCACCCGCCUCUGGUUACAUUUAUAUCUUGUACAUUUUUUUUCACAUUUGGCAUUCUGCUCAUUUAAACCCACAAAAGUAUUACAAGGAGUGCUCAAGAAAAUGGACUUUAAUAGAAUUAAAUUAUUAUGGCAAAAGAGUUCCAAUAAUUAUUUGUAUUAUGGUAGUGCCUAAGGGUCCCAACAGCGAUUAGCGUUUUGUUGCGCCAGACAUGGUACAAGCCUACUCAGUGGCAGUCCCUACCCUAAUUUCAAGAUCUCGUAUUAGGCCUGUCUGCCCGAAUGAUUGUUUAUUUAUACAGUUCCAGCAUUGCCCGCUGAAUACAACUAGAAAUAUCAAAGUGUCCAGUUAUAUAUCAAAAAGAUGAGCUCUUCUGAUCAAAUUUGCAACCCUUGAAAUCUGGGAAAAACCAACCGAAAAGAUCACAGUCACUUCGGGUGUCUCCCCGGGCACCUUAAUAAACUGCUCUGGAGUGUUGUGCAGAAGUUGAGUGAUGUCAGCCAUUUGGUUAUGAAAAUGAAAGCAGUGGUUCAACUCCAUCCCUGGCCUAACUCGAGUGACUUCAGUAGAGUCAUACGAGGACAGAAAGACUUGGUCAUGAUGUCACUGCAUUUUUGUGUCAGUAGCAGCUUCAGGAGAGGCUCAUGAGGAAUUGAUUAGUUAUUCAGUAUCUGCAGCUGUGUCACUUCACAACGAGGUAAAAUCCAGGUCUGUGGGUAACAAAAAGAAACAGAAUUUUGUUGAAGAAAGUUUGUACUGUGUCUUAUGUCAUGUACCUGCACAGCCAUUAUUCCCCUAUCUGGCAGCAUAACUACCUGGGACAUUGCCAAAGGCAUUUACAUACCGUGUUUACCAAAAGAACAACAGGAAAGUCUGUGAAAAUCAUGCAUAAGUGCUCAUAUUUGAGGCAUUUGAAAGAAAUUCUAAUCAAAAUGGUAUUCAGGCUAUUCAUGACUCCGGAAGAAUUGUUGGAUAGCUGCACAGUGUUGUAAAGAGCGCUGCAGUAGGAAUUCUUACCUGCACCCAUGCUGGAGCUGCCCAGACAUCAAACACUGGUGGUCAAUAAUUCAUCACAAUAAAAAAGAAACCAUCCAUGUAGCUUUGCUAUUGGAGCUUGACUGUUUUCUCCCCAGCCAACACUCUAAAAUACUCAAUAUGAAACUUUAUUCUAUUCUGUGGACUAGACUGUGGUGCAUCAUGGGAGAUGCAGUCCAACCAGGGAGCAUGGCCGAUAAAAGAGAAUGGGAGCAUGAGUCACACAAACCGCAACUCCCACGAAAGGACUGUGUUAGUAUUUCCAAACUAAAAAAUAUUUCAGUUUUUGACCCAAAUAUUUUGGUAUUUGAAUUUCCACUGAAAAACCAAUUUUUUUCCUGGAAAAAAAAACAUUUUCCCAAGACUAUAACAGGGUACAAAAAAGGGUGGGAGUGAUUCCUUGCCUGGCAUGCACCUCCUGUUAUUCUGCAAGGACAGGUCGCAGUCUGUCCCUAUGAAUAGACUAUCUAGAGUCAGGAGCAUACACCUGGGUCAAAAUUCUCCCCCAAAAUACAGGUGCCCAUUUCCUGUUGACUUCAGAGGGAGAGAAUGUAAGGGGAGAAUUUGGCCCAUUUUGAGAGUCUAUACACAGGCUUAAAUUGUUUGUCUGGCCCAUCCAUGGAGGAGAGCAUAAGGAGCCUCUCUCCCCUUGUGUCCCCCACAAGGGCCAGAGACAAUCGCAGUUCCUGUGUUGCUGCCUCUCCAUGCCCUUUCAACCCUCUGUACACUUGCCUUCGGGGAUGGGGGUGGGGAAGAUAUUGCAGUGACCCAAGGAUUGUGCAGAGUGUGCUCCCCUCUUGCACGAAGGAGCUGGCAUUUUGCUUCCUUGAGGCACAAUCUCUGUCUGUAACAGGAUGCUGGUCAUUCCUGGCCCAGCACAUCUGCUAGAGGACCUCCAGCCCGUUAAAAGAUGGGAAUUCAGGCAAUCGUAGUUCCCCAGGCGGGAACAUCCAGAUAAAGCCCCUGACCAGAGGGAGCAUGUGACUGGGAAGGACCAUGUGAUUGAGGUCAGGUGACUGGAGGCCGUUUGGUCCCAGGCUUAUAAGUAACAUCCCUCUACAUCUAAGUAACAUUCCUUCCAGAAAAGUUGUUUGCCCAUAUAUUUAUAGAAAGUGCCCUCAAAUAGGGCAUGAGAACAAAGAUGAGUCAUUUUGAUUUGAGAAAAUAUUCACUGUAUUUAUCACUAUGAUGAAUAUGCAUAUAUUAUAUAUAGAAUAUGUUUUUUCUCUCUACCUAGAUUAUUUAUCCUAUAGGAAAACUGAAAUAUCAUUGUCUGUUUUCAUGCCCCACUUGAGUCAACUGUUUCCAAAUAUUCUAGCGAACCAAUUUACUGUAAGGAACUUUUAUGGAAACAAUGAGUUUUAAGCAAAUAAUGGACAACAUUCAUGGAAAGCAAAUUUUGAGUUUGUCAACAUGAGAAAUGACACCUUAAUUCUGAUUGCAGAAGUUCUGCUCGUUAACUCAGGGAACAUAAUAAAUUCCCUGUGACUUGAGUAGAUAUUCAAACAGCUCAGAUUUUGAAUGUUAAAUAUUUUCAGCAAACCUCUUUUAGAAAAAAGCUACAGAUAAAGAAUUAUUCAUAGAAAUGUUUUGGCAAUUUAUUUUGAGCAAUGGAGAUAUUAAAAAAAAAUCAUGAUCUAUUUGGGGACAUUUCAUGAGGAGAAAAAAGAGGGGAAAUCGUCAGAAAAAUUAUUCAGUAUAAAUAACUCACCCAGCCCUAAAUGGGACUCCCAGAACUUGAACAUUUCUUAAUCUAAUCCGAUUUUCGGGUGACAGUCUGAUGCCAAACUACUUUUAAUAAAUCUUAGAGAGUGCAGAGACUGUUCAGCCAUUUGUCAUAUCACCACUUUAACUUAAGUAUCUUGUGUUAUCUUCUCCAUCACCUUCUUCAAGUGUUUCUCCAGUUUGAUGUGGUUUUCAGAUGUAUGUUCCGUUUUAGUUUCUGAAGGCAUAAAAUACAGGCGGGAGAGAGAGAGAUCUGAAAAAGGAAGGCCCUGAUCCUAUAGUCAAUAGGACAACUCAUAGUUAAACAUGUAUGUUAGAGUUUGCAAGGAGUAAGAUAGAACCAUUCAACUAACAUGCAGCCAACCAUUGAAAUAUAGUUUGUAUUUUCUUUAAAAUUGUGUGCUAGGUCAUAUUUGCACAGUUUUGUAACAUUUCAUUCCUGGUCUCCUUGCCCCUAAUCAUUAUUAUUUUUUAAUGUAGUUUUGUCUUUGGUUUGAACCUCUCUCUUUCAAAGCGAUGUCAGUCUCCUUUAAAUCAUUCAGAAAGUCAAUUUCUCAUCAAACAUUAAAAAAACAAGUUUAAAACGAACUCUGAGAGCCAUGGCUUAAUUCAUUCAUAUUGAGACUGGUUCAAGGCUCAUUGAAGUCACUGGCGGUCUCUCCACCGAAUGUAAUAGACUUUGGAUCAGGCCUGUUGUUCAAUCAUAUUGUACAUACCAGUUUGGCAAUGAAAUCAGGGCCGGCUCUAGGUUUUUUGCUGCCCCAAGCAAAAAAUUUGCCGCCCCAAGCCCCGAGAGUGCAACUGCCCAAGCAUGCGGCAGUCACUGAAGUUAGCAGGACUUGCUCAGUCCAUCGUGACUGCAGAGUUUUUAUUUAAAGUGUCAACAUUAACAAGAUUUUAAACUGUAGGCCAAUGCAGAGCAUCAUCUGACCCUGGUGGAGAAAUGUUUGCCUCAGCAGGUGUGAAAUAAUACAGAGUGUGCAGCAAAUCGUUGAUGGAUCUGUAAUGCAACACCAGUCCCAAAGGUGCUGAGGCUGCUGCAAUCAACAGGGAAGGACACCAAAAGUGAUUAAGUGUAGUUUAGGGCAUCAGAGCUUGGGAGACCUCCAGGGAGACUCUCCUGAAACCAGAGGGACAUAAUUCUAAACAACCGCUUAACUCUUUCAUUCUGAUUUACUAGCUCUAAGUGACAAACCCAUAAUCAUCGAAAGCGCACCACUUUCGCAUGGUUUCCAAUAACCGUACUGCCAAGAGCUAAACUGAACGUUCAGUGGGCCUGACUCAUCCCUGGGUUACUCUGUACGUUGCUGUUAACUCCAUUGAUUGAUAGGUGAUCUCCAUCGGUUCCCAGUAUAACUCCACAGCAUGUUCUAUCAGGCCACCGGCUCACACAGUUGGAAAAUGCCGCCCCUGCCACCCAAUAGAUAGCUAACCUCAAACCAGCGUCCCAUAGCGAUGAAGAAGAUUUCAGUGGAGUGGCACCAUCAUAGAACUGGAGUGACCCAGGUAUGAAUCACAGCCAUAGACUUUAGAAUAAGGAUUCCAGGCUUAUUUAUCUGUCGUUGUUCUCUUUUUCUUAAAUUGAGACCAUCAAGGUCCUGAACCAAACCUCAGUGGAGUCAAAGAGAGUCCUUCCUGAGAAGGAGGUUGGUCUUGUUUUUAAGGUAUUUGACAAUUCAGUUUCCAGCUCCGCCACAGCCUUCCCGUGUGACCUUGGGCAAGUCUCUUAAUGGGGAUAAUAAUGCUUUCUUUGUGUACCUUGUCUCUUUAGAGUGCAAGCUUUUGGAGCAGGGAUUGUCUCUUACUAUGUGUCUGUACAGUACCUAACUCAGUGGGACCCUGAUCUCUGCUAGAGCUCCAUGUUGUUUCAUAUGGGCUGCUAUACAGCCACGCAGAUAGUAAUAGUUUGGAUCUGUUCAGAUUCAAAUAGUGCCCUUGAGGUGAAAGCCCCAUGUCCCAUUAGCAAUCUUCUGAACCAUUCAGUCCCCUCAACAAUUUGUAAAAUAAAAAAAUUACAAUUUGUUAUUAAAUAUGAUGAUCUUCUUGGAUGAAUGCAGCCGCAAAACUUGUGGUAGUGCUCAUAAAAAAGUUGCAAGCAGAGAAUACUUUCCACUUACUAAGACCAAACAUACUGAGUUAAUGUUCCAA